CCACACUGAAGGUACCGAAGAGCCGCAUGUGGCUCGCGAACUACAGUUUGGCCACCAUGGGUCUAUAAUCUUGAUCAAUAAACUUUAAGUCUUUUCGUGAAAUAGAAAAAUAGCGAGGCUGUUCGUUUGAAUAUUAUAUCAUUAAUGAAGUUUGUGCAGUUGACGUCACAGUCACAUAUCAGAAGUACAAGUCUGAGAGCUUGGGUGUUUGUAGGCUUACUGUAUCAGAAACAGAGGAUGUCUAAUUCGUGUUGUGUAUUUGGAUGCAGCAAUAAUAACACAAAGACGUGUAGAGAGAAAAAUAUUUCGUUUCACUUCUUCCCACAUGGUAAGCCAUCUCUUUUAUUUUUGGUCGUUUUUGCAUUAUUAUUGCUGCAACCGAAUGCAC
rnacentral:lncRNA from 1 species